rnacentral:tRNA from 1 species
GCUUAUGUAGCUCAUUGGCAGAGCGCCCGGCUCCUAUCCGGGAGGAAGCGGGUUCGAACCCCGUCAUAGGCA